rnacentral:tRNA from 1 species
CUGGGUGGUGCAAACGGUGAAUGCAUUUGGCUGCUAACCAAAAGGCUGGAGGUUCAAGUCUACCCAGA